rnacentral:lncRNA from 1 species
UGGAGUUAGCAUUUUCACCACUUCUUUUGUCCGUCAAUUUCAAUGAUCUUCAGUUUGCAGCAGAUGCUGAAGUCAGCACAGAGUGAUAAAGCUAAAAUGAGACUCCCAGGGUAUGGCCCUCGUGCAAUAUGGCUGAUGUCCUUAUUAGAAGAGGAAGAGACACCAGGAAUGCAUGUGCACAGAAAAAAUGCCAUAAGAGGACAUAGCAAGAAGGCAACCAGCUGCAAGCCAAGACAGGCCUCAGGAGAAACCAAAUGUGCUGACAUCUUGAUCUUAGACUUAUAACAUCCACAACUGUGAGAAAAUGAACUUUUGUUAUUUAAGGCACCCAUUCUGUGGUACUUUCUUAUGAUAACCCUAUAGCAAUGCAAGAAUGGCCUAAUACAUCUAUAUUUAUAUUGGACAAAAUUGACUUUAAGC